CCUACGGGAGGCAGCAGUUGGGAAUUUUGCACAAUGGACGAAAGUCUGAUGCAGCAACGCCGCGUGCGGGAUGAAGAUUUUCGGAUUGUAAACCGCUUUUAUUUGGGAGUAACUGUUUGAACGUACCAAAUGAAUAAGCACCGGCUAACUCCGUGCCAGCAGCCGCGGUAAUACGGAGGGUGCAAACGUUGUCCGGAAUUACUGGGCGUAAAGCGCAUGUAGGUGGUCUAAUAAGUGAACGAUUAAAUACCGACGCCUAACGUCGGAAAGGUUAUUCAUACUGUUAGACUCGAGGAAGACAGGGGCAGAUGGAACUUUAAGUGUAGGAGUGAUAUCCGUAGAUAUUUAAAGGAACACCAAUGGCGAAGGCAGUCUGCUGGGUCUUUCUGACACUGAGAUGCGAAAGUGUGGGGAGCAAACGGGAUUAGAUACCCCGGUAGUCCACACCGUAAACGAUGCUCACUAGGUCUUGGAGGGUAUCGACCCCCUUUUGGACCGAAGCUAACGCGUUAAGUGAGCCGCCUGGGGGAGGUACGACGACGAACGUUAAACUAACUAAGUAAGUAGUAGACGCGAGAGACGACGACGACGACGACGACGGAGGAGGAG
rnacentral:rRNA from 1 species